UCCCUGGUGGCUCAGAUGGUAAAGCGUCUGCCUGCAAUGCGGGAGACCCAGGUUCAAUCCCUGGGUUGGGAA
rfam:TPA: Bos taurus chromosome 4, whole genome shotgun sequence.